CUUGAUGGAGUUUUGUUUCAAUGAGGUUGGAGUACCGAAUAAGUUGGAUCUCUAGUGAGGCUGUGUCUGUAUUGUGUGGAGGACAGGUAGUGUGUUGGAAGAUUUGCUAGUGAUGUGAUAAAUUAGUCGUCGGCUUGUAUAUCUGUUUUGAUCCCGGGUUAUUGUUAUUAAGUCACACAGCGAGGAAGUUGUGUGACGGGUUAUAUCCUCUGUACUUUGUAUAUUAUAUUGGGGUUAGUAUUACUUCUUUUUUGUGGUAAUGUUGAAAUUCUGGUAGAGUUGUUUUAGGGUUUAUUAACUGUGGCGUGAUCGAGGUGUUGAUAAGGUUGAGCUUUGUAUCAUUUAACAAGUAAUAGUAUUAGCUUUUUUGUUUCUUGGUUGAGGCCCAUCUGUUUAUUAAAAACAUUUCUAUAAGUAUGAUUGUUUUAUAGUAGUGCCUGCUCUAUGUUGUGAUAAAUGGCCGCAGUAUCUUGACUGUGCGAAGGUAGCAUAAUUAAUUGCCCUUUAAUUAAGGGCUUGUUUGAAUGGUUUGAUGAGGUUUAAGGAUAACAUUAUGGCUUUGUUUGAAAUUGAUUUUGCGGAUGCAGAAUUUGUAUGGAUUAAUUAGACGGAAAGACCCUAGGAUCUUUUGUUUUUGCUUGGGGCCAGUGGGAGUAUUUUACUUUUUUUGGGAACCCUGUGGAUAAGAGAUGUAAGUUACCCUAGGGAUAACAGUGUGAUAGUCUAGUAGAGGUCUUAUCGAUUAGACUGUUUGCCACCUCGAUGUUGACUUGGGUGUAUACUCUGGUGUAGCAGCUUGAGUUUUGGGUCUGUUCGACCUUUGGUGCCCCCAUGAGUUGAGUUAAGACCGGCGUGA
rnacentral:rRNA from 1 species